rnacentral:lncRNA from 1 species
CCCCCGCCUGCGGACGCGCCGCACGGGGCAGGUGCCCGGUUCACCGCGCGCCGCGGGCGGGGCUGGAGCUCUGCGGCGGAGCGUACCCGCCCGGAGCCCGGAAUCGGGCGCGGGGAAGCCGAGGGUACCACGGACCUCCCGGCGACUUGGGCGAGUGUACACGGGAUGGCUUCUGUGUUGCAGUAUAGACAGAAGUUAAGAAACAAUGGUUCUGAAAUCAGAAACAUCUGCAUUCUGGUCUGCUACCUGCCACUUAAUAGCUGAAUGAGUUGGGUAAGCCGCUUCUUUCUUUUUUUUUUUUUUUAAAGAUUUUAUUUAUUUAUUCAUGAGAGACACACACAGAGAGAGGGAGAGACAUA